UGGGGAAUAUUUCACAAUGGAGGGAACUCUGAUGCAGCGACGCCGCGUGAGUGAUGAAGGAAUUCGUUUCGUAAAACUCUGUUCUAUGGGAAGAAAAGGACUGUACCAUAGGAGAAAGCUCCGGCUAAAUACGUGCCAGCAGCCGCGGUAAUACGUAUGGAGCGAGCGUUGUCCGGAAUUAUUGGGCGUAAAGGGUGCGCAGGCGGCUUUACAAGUUGGAUGUGAAAUAUUGUGGCUCAACCACAAACGUGCAUCCAAAACUGCAAAGCUUGAGUUAAGGAGAGGUAAGUGGAAUUCCUGGUGUAGCGGUGGAAUGCGUAGAUAUCAGGAGGACUACCGGUGGCGAAGGCGACUUACGGGACUUAGGCUGACGCGCAGGGACGAAGGCGUGGGGAGCAAACAGG
rnacentral:rRNA from 1 species